AGUCCUCCUUUGUCCCUCUCUCACUCUCUCACAGGGCAAAAAGAACAAGGCAGUGUCAGGAAUAAAUUAAUGGGAGCACAUCGCUUUCGGCUGAUGACACAUUGAUGCAAGUGAUGGAGGUUAAGCCCCAUCACACACGACUGUUUUGCCAGAUCUGCGAAGAGAGAAAUCAAAGGGGAUACCGAGCUGUUACAGGACCCCAGCCUAGGAGAGGAC